AGACAACCCUUCCUACUUCCCCGUCAUCUCCUUCGCUUCUCCUGUCUGAAACCCUCGCCCCAGACCACAAAUGGAAACCAUGCCAAUUCUUUCACCCAAACACCAAAUCAAACCUACGCUUGAAGCAAAGUUGACUAAAAUUCACCGAGAUUCGUUCAUUUCUACCGAUUAAAACCACUACACAGAUGAAUCCAAGGCUUCGACAACAAACAGUUCGCGGCAGAAAUAGAGUACGUCUUCAAUCGUAGAUUAUGAAAGAUACCACCCCUCAGAUAAAUUGACAGGAUAUGUAUUUGCAAAAAACGCACAAGGAUUUCGAAUCCAAAAAGAAAAACACAACAACGAAAGGAAGAUAAGCAUUUGACUACUACUUCAACAAUGCGAUGCAAUUGAGGAACUCUAUACACCAAAUAAUGACAUACAACAAUGAGGAGCCAAUGUGGGGAAGAGAAAAGCAAAGUAGUUGAACUGAGAGGUAAACUUCCACUGAAUUGCAAAAUAUAUCAUAUAUGCAUAACAUAGGAUCAGUCCAGAUACAAAAUAGCCUAGUUAAAUAGCUGCACAAUGCAGAUAUCCUAGGCACAGAUUUUAGAGUAAUUUAGAACAGAUAGUAGUAGAAUAAGCACAUGAAACCUUACACCCAGUAAAAACAAACAAACUAAACAUCUUCUUCCUUGAUGGCCAAAGUCCUUCGCUUUUUAGGAACCACAAGUGAAAUCUUCCAACAGACACCUCUUAACAGAAUGUGGUAUAGCAUUCUGUAAACCAUUUUCAGAUUCCUGCCUUAACGGAACAUCAGCCAAAUCAUCUCCACCAUUUCCAGGCAGACCCUCAUUCACCUCAACUACAUCUUCAUAAUCAUCCCCCAAAUUGACUACAUCAUGCCCAGCAAAGAAAUCCUAAAAAGAAACAAAGAAAGUGACCAUUUUAGCUUCAAUAUGACUAUCUGUGUAGUUUAAGUAAAAAAAAAAGAAGAAGAGAAAAGUGGAGUUCUACCUCAUCUGUAUUCAUAACACUGCCCUCAUCACCCAUUAAUGGUGAACCAACUCCAACAACACCGUCACCCUCAAGAUCACCACAAAAUUUAGCUAUAGCAUCACAGGGACUUGCAGACUAUAAACCUGCUGCUUCUUCAUCUUAAUCUUCAAGAGCAUUUUCCUGUUUGUAAGAGGCAGCAACUCAAGAGGAAUACCCUCAUAUUCCUAGCAUUUUAAGAACCGUAUAUAUAAGUCUCAAUUGAAUAGAAGAAAAAAAAAUAGAACCACACUUAACACCCCAUAUUUCUUAAGUAGAUUUUCUGCUGACACACCAACCAGCUCUGCCACUUCCCUAUCCCACUAUUUAAUAUUACAGAAAGAUAUUUAAAUUAGAGUAGAAAAGAAUACCUUGAGUCUUCUAGCAAAAAGUCAAUGAGCCGAGAAGGCCUUCCAUUAAUCAAUUUAUAAGGACUUUCAGUUCAGUCAGACUCAAGGAUGAAAGCAACCCUACUUUUGUAGCUGAAGUUUAGACUCCCUUCUUUAAAGAUUCUAAAAGCCUACUCAAUGAUCUCAACACAUCUCUGUAAGUCCCCCUACUCAAUGAUCAUACAUAACUAUAUACAUGUAGGUUUGGAAAAAAAAAACAUUGUUAUGUAUCUAUUAACCAUUAUCAUUGAUCAAAAAAACACUUCUAUUUGACUUGCUUGCUUGCAACUGAAAACCUUUGAUGAUUCGUGCUUGUAAAUGCAAUCUUUAUAUGUAUUCCUUUUUCUUCUUUUUUUAAUCCCAUAAAUAAGUUAAUGUUUUUCCCAUAUUGGAAGGCAGCCCCAAAAAAAAAAUAAAAUUAAGGGCCAUGAAAAUUACCUGGAUCUAUCUUUGCUUUGCUUAGCUUCAAAAUGAAUAGGAUCUGAGAUGAAGAGUCAACACAAACUUGUUUUAAAAACACCAGAAACUACAAAUAGAAGUGUAUACCUUUCCUAUGUGCUCUGGCAACGACUGUGGAGUAGGUUCUUGACGUUCUCCCUGGGCAAGCUUCCUCUCCGGCGAGGCAAAAUAAGAAUAGAAAGCAAAUCAUUAAAUCCUAUUAAUGAAGAUUAAUGAUAAAAAAAAAAAAAAAAAAGCUUACCUUUUCGUGGAAGACUACCUCUUUGCUCUUAAUUUCAGAAGAGCCUUUCCGUGGAAGGAACCUCUUUGCUCUUGAAGGUAGAUAAAUUAUUGGCGAGGUAGUGCAUUCCCAUGGUCGAAAGCAAAAAUGCAAAGCAGAAAUUUGGAGAAUGAUAGUUAACCUGUAAUAUAUAGUGUGUAAUAGAUGUCUUAGAGUGAAAGAGUUCUAUAUGUAUAUUAAAUAGUUUUGAAUUCCCGGUGAGAGUGAAAGACUUCUAUAAUCUUUUUCUUGAUUCUCGA